rnacentral:rRNA from 1 species
AUUGAACGCUGGCGGCAUGCUUUACACAUGCAAGUCGAACGGUAACAGGCCGCAAGGUGCUGACGAGUGGCGAACGGGUGAGCAAUGCAUCGGAACGUGCCCAGUCGUGGGGGAUAACGCAGCGAAAGCUGCGCUAAUACCGCAUACGAUCUAUGGAUGAAAGCGGGGGACCGUAAGGCCUCGCGCGAUUGGAGCGGCCGAUGUCAGAUUAGGUAGUUGGUGGGGUAAAGGCUCGCCAAGCCAACGAUCUGUAGCUGGUUUGAGAGGACGACCAGACAGACUGGGACUGAGACACGGCCCAGACUCCUACGGGAGGGAGCAGUGGGGAAUUUUGGACAAUGGGCGCAAGCCUGAUCCAGCAAUGCCGCGUGCAGGAAGAAGGCCUUCGGGUUGUAAACUGCUUUUGUACGGAACGAAACGGUCCUGGUUAAUACCCGGGGCUAAUGACGGUACCGUAAGAAUAAGCACCGGCUAACUACGUGCCAGCCGCCGCCGUAACAC